rnacentral:lncRNA from 1 species
GUGUUACAUUUUAACGUUACGUCGUUUGUUUUCUCUUAUUUUUUAGUGUAAAUUCACAUUGCGAUAAGACGUGUCACGGUACUUGUCUAUCCCAAAUUUAUGUAUUUGGUUUUGAUGUUAUAUUUGUUAUUCUCGUGUGAUUUUGUCUGAUGCUUGGUCCGUUUCUGUGUGUGUUACAUUGUAGUGUUGUGUCGUUGUUCUCCUCUUAUAUUUAAUGCGUUUCCCUCAGUUUUAGUUUGUUACCCCGAUUUUAUUUUUUGUCCAUGGAUUUAUGAGUUUGAACAGCGAUAUACUACUGUUGCCUUUAUUUAUUAUCC